rnacentral:rRNA from 1 species
GAUGAACGCUAGCUACAGGCUUAACACAUGCAAGUCGAGGGGCAGCAUUAAGGAAGCUUGCUUUCUUAGAUGGCGACCGGCGCACGGGUGAGUAACGCGUAUCCAACCUGCCCCCUACCCGGGGAUAGCCUUGCGAAAGUAAGAUUAAUACCCGGUGCUGUUGCGAUCCCGCAUGGGGAUGCAACGAAAGAUUCAUCGGUAGGGGAUGGGGAUGCGUCCGAUUAGCUUGUUGGUGGGGUAACGGCCCACCAAGGCGACGAUCGGUAGGGGUUCUGAGAGGAAGGUCCCCCACAUUGGAACUGAGACACGGUCCAAACUCC